rnacentral:ncRNA from 1 species
GGUUUCAGGGCGGGGUGCAAUUCCCCACCGGUGGUAUAGCCCACGACCGCGGCUGGUUGGCAGCCGCGCUGAUUUGGUGAAAUUCCAAAGCCGACGGUAUAGUCCGGAUGGAAGAAA